rnacentral:rRNA from 1 species
AGAUGAGUUCUCCCUGAGACUUUAAGUCUCCUGAAGGAACGUUGAAGACGACGACGUUGAUAGGUCGGGUGUGUAAGCGUAGCGAUACGUUGAGCUAACCGAUACUAAUGAACCGUGAGGCUUAACCUU